rnacentral:rRNA from 1 species
AGCGAACGCUGGCGGCAGGCUUAACACAUGCAAGUCGAACGGGUAUCUUCGGAUACUAGUGGCAGACGGGGUGAGUAACACGUGGGAACGUACCUUUCGGUUCGGAAUAAUACAGGGAAACUUGUACUAAUACCGGAUAAGCCCUUCGGGGGAAAGGAUUUAUCGCCGAUAGAUCGGCCCGCGUCUGAUUAGCUAGUUGG